rnacentral:rRNA from 1 species
ACGCUCGACACCUACGGAGGCAGCAGUGGGGGAUAUUGCACAAUGGGGGAAACCCUGAUGCAGCAACGCCGCGUGAAGGAAGAAGGUCUUCGGAUUGUAAACUUCUGUCCUCAGGGAAGAUAAUGACGGUACCUGAGGAGGAAGCUCCGGCUAACUACGUACCAGCAGCCGCGGUAAUCUGAGCGGGCUGGCAAGGC